ACUACGGGAGGCAGCAGUGGGGAAUAUUGGGCAAUGGGCGCAAGCCUGACCCAGCAACGCCGCGUGAAGGAAGAAGGCCCUCGGGUUGUAAACUUCUUUUGUCAGGGACGAAGAAAGUGACGGUACCUGACGAAUAAGCCACGGCUAACUACGUGCCAGCAGCCGCGGUAAUACGGAGGUGGCAAGCGUUAUCCGGAUUUACUGGGUGUAAAGGGCGUGUAGGCGGGACUGCAAGUCAGAUGUGAAAUUCCAGGGCUCAACCCUGGAACUGCAUUUGAAACUGUAGUUCUUGAGUGAUGGAGAGGCAGGCGGAAUUCCGUGUGUAGCGGUGAAAUGCGUAGAGAUACGGAGGAACACCAGUGGCGAAGGCGGCCUGCUGGACAUUAACUGACGCUGAGGCGCGAAAGCGUGGGGAGCAAACAGGAUUAGAUACCCCAGUAGUC
rnacentral:rRNA from 1 species